rnacentral:rRNA from 1 species
UACGUAGGGUGCGAGCGUUGUCCGGAUUUAUUGGGCGUAAAGAGCUCGUAGGCGGUUUGUCGCGUCGGCCGUGAAAUCUCCACGCUUAACGUGGAGCGUGCGGUCGAUACGGGCAGACUUGAGUUCGGUAGGGGAGACUGGAAUUCCUGGUGUAGCGGUGAAAUGCGCAGAUAUCAGGAGGAACACUGGUGGCGAAGGCGGGUCUCUGGGCCGAUACUGACGCUGAGGAGCGAAAGCGUGGGGAGCGAACAGG